ACUGCAUAUUCUCUAUGAGGCAAAAGAUGGAACAAAAAUAUUUAUUCCUGGUUGCAGAUGGUGGAGUGUAAGUCAAGCAAGGACCUUCAAGUCCUAUAUCCAAAUCAAUUGAAACCUCCCAUCUUCUCGUUUUUCUCUCUCUUUGUAUGCACCAUAUAUCAGUGGAACUAUUGGUGGAUGCUUGAUUUUAUUAUGUCAAUCUUAUCUAAUAAUUUUCUUUUCAGAAUAUUUCAUGACCAUAUGAACCACCUUGAUCAUCGUUGGUAGCACGGUAGCACACAUGGAUCGUAGCAUUUGAAAAAUUCUUGGCUUGGUUUGCCUGUCCGGAUUAUCUACUCAUCUUUGUUUGUUUCAUGUCAGAAUUCUAUUCGAGUGAUCGAGUCGUUCCUCCCUAGGUUGAGGUUCUUCGCCUUCAGUAUCAUCCAAAUGCCAUCAACGGGCAACAAAUGAUUGCUAAAUAGGAUCAAACUACACUGACAUAAUGCUGCAGGAAGGAAUCAAAUCCAUGAUUACAUGCAAAGGUAUUUGCCUGCAAGUUUUAUGAUGAGUAACAUUGGUGUAUGCUUCAAUCAAACGACUGAUCUGAAACUUAGUGGCUCUUGCAAAAUGUUACUAUUGAGUACUGAGUUUGGUAGUAGUUUCUGCACCUGGAUAGUUAUGUUGCUGCUUAUUCUACUCUUUCCUCUGUCUAUUGAAUCCUGAUGAGUAACAAUACUAAUGAUAAUAGGAAGCCCUAAAAGCUCUUUGGCAUGCAACAUAUCCUGAUCAAGAACUUCAAGUUUGAUAUCUAAACAGUGGAAGGACGUGAGUUGGCAAGGAAGAGAAAUACAUUCAGGAAAAGCAGUCUAUGGAGAAUUGACUAUUCUAUAUUCUUUGCCAAGACAUUCCCUGUAAGCAACAUGUGGCAAUAUAAUUGCUUUUCAUUUUUUGAAAGUGCCCUCUUCCUCUUGAUGGUUAAGUGGUAAGUAACCAUCUUAAUAUUUUGUUUCUACAUGCGUCAUUUCAAAGAUUGCUAAAGAAACAAUGUGGUAGAAGAGCCCAAUUGGAGUACCCUUUUACAGUUGCUAACAUAAAUAUUACAUUCAUGAUCAUGCAGAUACUUCAUCUCCAGUCAAGCAAUGGCCUAAAGUCUCGAAUAUAUCAUGUGGUUAUGCCUCUAAAUUGUAAUUUUCUUGACAAGAUGAUAUCGACUGCCUAAAUUGUAAUUUUCUUGACAAGAUGUUAUCGACUUCAGCUAAGCCCAAAACAUUUGUAAGCUAUUUUCAUCCAAAUGUUCUCAUGAUAUGAAGCACAAUCGAGACAUGGAGUCAACUUAGCAUCAAGGAAAAUCUGAUAAAAUUCAUGUUUUUCACAUAGUUUAGAGAUGCAAGUAAAUGCUAGUAAUACGAUGAGUGAAUGCAAUGGAGAGGAUAUUGGGUGAGUUAGGAUCUCAUCAGUAAUGCGAGUGAACGCAAAAUUGCGCAAAAUUCAAGAUCACCCUCUCUGGCGACAAGCACCCCUCUAGGAUCUGGUAAAAAGGAAAGAGAUGAAGUGCACGGUGGUGAUCAACGGUCGGUCUGCAGCAGCUGAUGAUGCUCAUAGCAGGAUACUCCACCGUCAUCACGUGGCAGGCGUUGUAGGUCCUCUACAUGGUGCUGCGUGACGUUGACUCAACGAACGCAACGACAUGGAGUAAUCAACGACAUCACACCACUUUGGUUUUUGUUUGUCUUAUUGUGUUUUUUAAUUGUGAUGAUAUAUAUCUAUCCUGCUUGACAAUGCGCAUGUACAUUGUGUUGGCCGGUAAUUCUUCUCUCCGUACAUCGAGCGCUUCAGGAACCUCUGCCUUGGCAUUGACAGAUGGAAGGGUUUUAUCAGAGCAUCAGACCCACGUAGAAUAUGUGAGCAAUAUUCUUUCUGGACAAUGAUGAGUUUAUUUCUUUUGUUUGGUCAAUUUGUUCUCAGUAGCAUGAAACAGUAGGAAGCGCAGUUUGUUCUUUUUUUAGUGUUGCCUAUGUCCUUAAAGUGGAUGCCAAAAAUGCCUGUUUGAUUAUAAUUACACAAUAGUAUAAGAUUUUGAAAUAUGCCAAAUGCCAAAAUAUCACCUUGGAUUGUGUGGUUUUUCUAUAAAUAGUCUGAAAUUGUAUAAUAACAGUUUUGAAGUGAUUAUAUGUAAU